rnacentral:misc_RNA from 1 species
GAAAUGCGAUAAUUAAUGUGAAUUGCAGAAUUCAGUGAAUCAUCGAGUCUUUGAACGCACAUUGCGCCCCCUGGUAUUCCGGGGGGCAUGCCUGUCCGAGCGUCAUUGCUGCCCUCAAGCACGGCUUGUGUGUUGGGCUUCCGUCCCUGGCAACGGGGACGGGCCCAAAAGGCAGUGGCGGCACCAUGUAUGGUCCUCGAGCGUAUGGGGCUUUGUCACCCGCUCCCGUAGGUCCAGCUGGCAGCUAGCCUCGCAACCAAUCUUUUUAACCAGGUUGACCUCGGAUCAGGUAGGGAUACCCGCUGAACUUAAGC